rnacentral:rRNA from 1 species
AGAGUUUGAUCCUGGCUCAGGAUGAACGCUGGCGGCGUGCUUAACACAUGCAAGUCGAACGAGCCUUCGGGCUAGUGGCGGACGGGUGAGUAACGCGUGGGAAUCUGCCCUCAGGAGGGGGAUAACGGCCGGAAACGGCCGCUAAUACCCCAUAUGCCGAGAGGUGAAAUGAAUUUCGCCUGAGGAUGAGCCCGCGUCUGAUUAGCUAGUUGGUGGGGUAAUGGCCCACCAAGGCGACGAUCAGUAGCUGGUCUGAGAGGAUGAUCAGCCACACUGGGACUGAGACACGGCCCAGACUCCUACGGGAGGCAGCAGUGGGGAAUUUUCCGCAAUGGGCGAAAGCCUGACGGAGCAACGCCGCGUGAGGGAUGAAGGCCUCUGGGCUGUAAACCUCUUUUCUCAAGGAAGAAGACAUGACGGUACUUGAGGAAUAAGCCACGGCUAAUUCCGUGCCAGCAGCCGCGGUAAUACGGGAGUGGCAAGCGUUAUCCGGAAUUAUUGGGCGUAAAGCGUCCGCAGGCGGCCUUGUAAGUCUGUCGUUAAAGCGUGGAGCUUAACUCCAUUUCAGCGAUGGAAACUACAAGGCUUGAGUGUGGUAGGGGCAGAGGGAAUUCCCGGUGUAGCGGUGAAAUGCGUAGAUAUCGGGAAGAACACCAGUGGCGAAGGCGCUCUGCUGGGCCAUAACUGACGCUCAUGGACGAAAGCCAGGGGAGCGAAAGGGAUUAGAUACCCCUGUAGUCCUGGCCGUAAACGAUGAACACUAGGUGUCGGGGGAAUCGACCCCCUCGGUGUCGUAGCUAACGCGUUAAGUGUUCCGCCUGGGGAGUACGCACGCAAGUGUGAAACUCAAAGGAAUUGACGGGGGCCCGCACAAGCGGUGGAGUAUGUGGUUUAAUUCGAUGCAACGCGAAGAACCUUACCAGGGUUUGACAUCCUGCGAAUCCCUUGGAAACGAGGGAGUGCCUUCGGGAGCGCAGAGACAGGUGGUGCAUGGCUGUCGUCAGCUCGUGUCGUGAGAUGUUGGGUUAAGUCCCGCAACGAGCGCAACCCACGUCUUUAGUUGCCAGCAUUCAGUUGGGCACUCUAGAGAGACCGCCGGUGAUAAACCGGAGGAAGGUGUGGAUGACGUCAAGUCAUCAUGCCCCUUACAUCCUGGGCUACACACGUACUACAAUGCUACGGACAAAGGGUUGCAAGCUCGCGAGAGUUAGCUAAUCCCAUAAACCGUGGCUCAGUUCAGAUCGUAGGCUGCAACUCGCCUACGUGAAGGAGGAAUCGCUAGUAAUCGCAGGUCAGCAUACUGCGGUGAAUACGUUCCCGGGCCUUGUACACACCGCCCGUCACACCAUGGAAGUUGGCCAUGCCCGAAGUCGUUACUCCAACCCUUGUGGAGGAGGACGCCGGA